CACUUGUCUUCACAAGUGUAAAAAAAAAAAAAAGUUCUAAGAAAGGUGGUAAGCUCAAUAAACAUUUAUGAAAAACCUAACUUAAACACUUUUUUCCUGUAACAGAUAGUAUUGUGAAAUGUUUCAGAUGUUUCUCCUCACAGCAUUUCUUUUUGUCCAAACAGAUAUUAAAAUGCAGGAUGCAACUCCACAUUUCAACACAAGAGACUUUGCCAGAUAGGGGUAUGUGUACUCUUCAAGUACUGCCAUGUUUUUGCAGUGUGUCGGGAGGGACCCCCAGGCUGGGCAGAGAUUGCUCUGACAACAGGUGAAGCGGCUCAGCUGGGGAGCUUUCUGGAGCACAAGACAAGUCUGGAUCCAACAGGCUACCACCAACAGUGCAAAGGGAAAUUAAAAAGAAAAGUUUUAAUUUGAAGAAUAAUCAUGAGAAAAAGAAGUGACAGUCACUUCUUUCUUUGAAUCCCCUUUCAGAGUUCUUAUAACUCAAGAAUAGCUAAAACCUCACAGAAGAAACACAGAAGGAGCUGGUUCAAGCAAA
rnacentral:lncRNA from 1 species